UCUGUGUCAAAGAAGAAAUAGCUAAAAAUUGUAACAAUUAAACCCUAAUAUUUGAACUAAUAAGAGAAGCUGGACAGGAUAACAAUUUAGUGAACCUCUAUUAUCAAAACUACUCGAUUAUACGAACUGCCUUGUUCACCGAUCUAUCCGGAUGAACUAGACUCUCUUGUAUGAAAUAAUUAACACGUAAAAACGAAAAUUAAGUGAACUAUCCUAAUACAUUUUAUUCUUAACUGAAAGUGGUGCUUAACUGAGGCUCAUGCCAAACAUCACCUAUCGAAUCGAAAGGCAAAUUAAUGUAAAUGUAAGGAGAGAUUCGUUGGAUCAUCGUCAAUUAUUAUAAGAAAUCGGCCUGGAAACGACGAUUCAGAAUUCAGCUUGCGUGUUGGAGGCUGCGAAUGCGUCCCACGUAGAAGCUGCGCAUUCUCGAUAUUCAAGAGUCACACCGACCAGAAGAGACGGUACUGUUUCCGUAAAAUGUCUGUAAAGCGGAGAACCAGAGGUCGCUCGCGUAUAAUACCGAGCGAGAUACUCCUGGACUCCUGGCUGUUUCAGAGAGGGGUUAGGGAUCGUGACGUGCCAUGGAUGGGAGGCGUUUUUCCCCUCGUUUUCAUGAGGAAUACCGCCGAGUCGCGAGGCGAACGAACGGAAUCUUAAUUCUCGGCGUUAGACGCUCGAUCGGCAAGGAUCUGGUUCCUUAAUGAAAUCCCGGUCGGGCUCGAAAAAGCGUAAAAAACUGUGAUAUUACGUCGAGCAGACUUUCAACCACGGCCACGAUCCUCGUCUUCUUACAUCAUCGCUUUCGUUUUCUACUCGCAUUGGGUAGAAUCGUAAAGUGAUUUAAAUGAUGUUCUCCCAAGAACUCGACUCCAAGAAGUUUACGUCUAGUCAGAUUAGUUUAUAUGUACGAAAGAGACAACGAAUAUGUUACAAAUUCAGGAAUAUUCUCUAAUCCCAGUAUCGGCUGAUAAGUUGUUACGGCACUGGCGCAUUCAAACCGGUUUUACUCGAUCACGAGACUUUAGGCGAUCGUUUGCGACGUGGGCGAGGUAAUGGUCCGUUCAGUUGAAAAUCGAAAUCCCUCUGCGAUAGAUUCGCGUACCUAUAAAAUGAAAAAUAAAAUCUUCCAACUAAUGUUA